ACAGUAAGGUUUUACAUACAGUAGUAUUACAUACGUACAUAACUUUUUUUUACAGGAAUUUCCAACCAAGUUUGAUUAUGUACAUACAUGUUAUAAACCACUGUACGUAUGGUUACUGUAUGUAACUUACUAAACAUACAUAACAUGACUUAACUUUGAUACUUUUUUGGUACAUUCCAGAAAACCAGGACCCCCUCCAUGAUGCAGGCUAUGGGGCCACAUAAAACUUUGUCCAGGGUUACUACAUAACAUAAAGAACCCCCUGAAUGAUGUAGGCUAUGGGGCCACAUAAGACUUUGUGCAUCCAGGGUUACAUAGCACGACAACUUUAAACUAAAGAACCCCCUGAAUGAUGUAGGCUAUGGGGCCACAUAAGACUUUGUGCAUCCAGG